CCUCUCUUAGGGUCACACCUGGAGAGUUUCUAGUACUCUACCAAUCUCGGCUACAGGAGAGAGAGUCAAGCAGAGGCAAACCCAUUCCAUUCCUAGGUUGACCAGUGGCUAGCAGAUGGAAGGCAAUCUGCUGCAAGU